UGGGGAAUCUUGCACAAUGGAGGAAACUCCGAUGCAGCGACGCCGCGUGAGCGAAGAAGCCUUUCGGGGUGUAAAGCUCUUACGCCAGGGACGAUAAUGACGGUACCUGGAGAAGCAGCUGCGGCUAACUACGUGCCAGCAGCCGCGGUAAUACGUAGGCAGCAAGCGUUGUUCGGAGUUACUGGGCGUAAAGAGUGCGUAGGCGGUUUUCUAAGUUCGGUGUGAAAUCUCCCGGCUUAACUGGGAGGGUGCGCCGAAGACUGGGAAGCUGGAGUGUGGGAAAGGCAGGCGGAAUUCCUGGUGUAGCGGUGAAAUGCGUAGAUAUCAGGAGGAACACCGGCGGUGUAGACGGCUUGCUAGACCAUAACUGACGCUGAGGCACGAAAGCGUGGGUAGCAAACA
rnacentral:rRNA from 1 species